GCUUCGGUGGUCUAAUGGUUAGAGCGUCUGCCUCGGAUGCGGGAGGUCCUCGGUUCUAUCCCAGGUUAGGUUCU